rnacentral:siRNA from 1 species
AUCGAUGCGACGAUACGGCGAUGC